UUUUAUUUCUAGUUGCACUUAAAAGAUAUCCGAUUUAAGAAAUCUUUUAGAUAUCUGCUUGAUUUCUGCUGCCAAUCUGCUGUCAGGUUAUGUCACCAAAUCCUGCUCGGUUUCUGCAAUCAAUCUGCUGGCAUGCCAUGCCAGCAGGCUUUGUCGACAAAUCCUGAGCUUAAUGCGGACACAGAAUGCUAUGGAUCUGCAAUGGGUAUCUGAUUGAAUUUGCUGCCAAUCUUCUCGCAAUCUGCUAGCAUUUUGCUAUUAGGAUAUGGAUACACAAAAUACAGAUGUUAAUGCAUUAAUGAUAGCUAUACCAAGAUUGCCAAAUUGUGCUGGAAAUGGCUGAAACUACCGGAAGUUUAACGGAAAAUGGCGGAGCCAAUCACAAUCAAGAGCGGUAUUGGCACAACUCUCCUUAUAGGAACUCUAGUGCGAUCGAGACGUCGAUGCGUGACGGAAAAAGAGAUAGAGGGAGGAGCAAGAGAAGGGAGAGGAAAGAAGCAAGGAGAGUAGAUGUCAAGGGGGAGAAGGAGCAAGAGGAGAGGGCUAGAAGGAGGGGAGAAGCCAGAAGAGGACAGUAGCGCACUCGAAAGAGUGGGAAGUUAAAAGGAUGCGUACGAGCGAAAGAAGAAAUUGUUACAUUGCGAGUCUGAAAGAAAGGAAAAAGAAGGUGCAAAAGAAAGCAGAGAUAGAGACAGGAGGAGGAAAGAAAGAGAAGGGUUGCACGGAGAAGCGGAGUAGGAGGUCAAGGAAAAAUUGGAGAGAGACAAGCGGCAAGGAGGAGAAACAAAGGGAGAAGCGGAAGAAGAUAAGGGGGAAGAACAAGCAAGAAGAUGAGGAGAAAGCCAGAGGAGAACAGAAAGAGCAAUUGAAAGAGUAGGAGGUUGAGAAGAUGCGUACGAGCGAAGGAAGAAAUUGUUAUAGCGCGAGUCUG